UACGUAGGGCGCAAGCGUUGUCCGGAAUUAUUGGGCGUAAAGAGCUCGUAGGCGGCCUGUUGCGUCCGCUGUGAAAUCCCGGGGCUCAACCCCGGGCCUGCAGUGGGUACGGGCAGACUAGAGUGUGGUAGGGGAGACGUGGAAUUCCUGGUGUAGCGGUGGAAGUGCGCAGAUAUCAGGAGGAACACCGAUGGCGAAGGCAGGUCUCUGGGCCACUACUGACGCUGAGAAGCGAAAGCAUGGGGAGCGAACGGG
rnacentral:rRNA from 1 species